UGAGCUGGGAUUGGCUGAGGCUUGGAUAAAAGGGGGAGCAGUUUUUCCUAUGGGUGGGGGAGGACAGGUUGAGAGUCUUAGUGCAGUGGUCCCUUGGAGAGCCUCUGAGAGAGGCCUGCAGGAGCUGGGUGGAGAAGCUGCAGGGGUAGGCAGGGACUGCUGGUGUGGAGAACCCAAGUCUGGAGAGACCUGACUGCAGCGGUGUGGCUGGGUGAGCACAGCAGAGCAGGGGUGGGGAUUUCCAGAGUCUGCCCUAGUUUCCCUGAGGGGUGAGGGGCCCCAGGGGCAGGCCAAGCACAGGGAGGGGCUGCAGUUGCUGGGGCUGUGAGGCUGUGUGGGGCAGCAGGGUUGCUACAGCCUGUAGCCCAGACACUGCUCACAGCAGAGCCAGGGAAAGGGGCAAAGGCAGGGGAAGGCUGUCUUGCAGGAACUGCAGAGGAGCUGCUGCUUGCUGCUCAGAGACCCCAGGAGCAUGGAGAUGGACACCAGUGCCAGGGAGCGUCCACAGACCACGUGCAGGGACGCAGACAGUCCCGCUCCCUGAGAUACCCCGCCAGGGGCAGAGCACAUGGGAUCCCCAGUACACCGUGUGCAAGCUGCAUCAACAUUUAAAAAUCAGAAAUUCAUGAAUGCUUGCUUCUUGAAACUGGGUAGAAGCAAGUGUAACUGUGAUGGGAAAGAGGGGAGUACAGAGAACCCUGUCCUCACAAAUAGGAGAAGCAGCAAUAUCAUCUUGUUCUUUCUCUUUGAGCUGGUUUGAAGUGGUUUGAUGGGAGCCACACAAGUGUGGGUCAUUGGAAUGACUCGUAUCCUGUGCUGCAGGUGCCAAUCCAUCUCUGUUGUACUACGACAGUAAAAUGUUGUCAGCUGCAGCUUAGUAUCUUUCCAAGAAGUCACUUUCCUGUAAGACCCAGGCCCAGGGGCUGAUCCAGGGGGUGUGGUGAUGUGAUUAUACCCCAUUUCAUUGACAGUUUGCUGCCAAGCACUGGUCUCAGGUGCCAGAUGCGUGACUAGUAAGUUCUCCACUGUCACUUCCCCUGUUAGGGUAGUUUGUCAUAUUUUAUGCUUUAAAAUUGCACCUGUUUAUAGAGUGGUGAAUUAUUGUUUAAAGUUUUCUUUACAUUCAGUCUAAAGUUCUGUAUAGUCUCAUUGUUAGCUGAACUUUUCAUUUUGCUGGUGUCUGCAAUAUCAGUUGGCCUUGUUUCUUGUAAGCAGCUUAUGGCCUUGAGUUUGCUUGCAUGUUGUUUUUUUUUUUUUUUUUUCUAUCACUGAAAAGUUUUUUUCUAACGCAACGUAGUAACAGUUUUGUCACUAGCUCAAAUUAACUGAACUUGGCACCAACCAGCUGACUCAGAAGGAUGAAAUGAUUGGAUAUGUUAAUGAAAGGGUAUAAAGGAGGCUAAUGGACAAUGCUUAAAUUAAGACACUGGAAAAAGGCCAAAUUAAGAGGUGUGCUCAUAAUGGGGAUGUUGAGCAAAGGAAUAUACUGACAGGAUAAAAUAUGAACAAUAUGCUGACUGCAGAAAGAGCAAUCCAAAAGCGAGGAGUCGUCAAAGGCGUCAAGUUAAAGAAAAGCAUAAAAGGGGAAAGCAAGGAAGUUAAGUGUUGUUGUCGUCGUCGUCGUCAUCAUCAUUUACAUCAUGAAUCCAGCUUUCAACACCUGUCUGGAUCAUCCCAGCCAAUGACGCACCCUUUGCUUCAGGAACGGAGUGGCUGUCUUUUCUGUAAUGUAAAGUAACAUCUGGGAUUGGUUGAGAUCAUUGUACUAAGUGUUUUUUCUCUUCUGAAUAUAGAAACUGCUGAGAUAAUACUUGUUGUAUUAAUAAAGUUAGACUUUGAUUUUA